GUUCGCUCGCUGCUGUGGGAAGAUCGGCGAGAGAAAGGACCCGGUCAGACGACGGUGGCGCACGCGUCGAGGAGGAAGUCGCGGAACGACGGGAGAUAGCGACGAUAAGACGUUAUCCAGCAGUUCCUGCGGACGUAGAUGGGAUAUCCAGGGAUCCGGUUCAGGGUGAGCUUCGGAGUCGCCUCGAAGAAAUUUGCGGCGGAUUCGCACGACGGAUUCGAGGGACUUUCAGAAGCCGGUCUUCUUGUUCCGGGAGAGGAGUACGUGCGGUG